rnacentral:lncRNA from 1 species
GGAACCACAUUCACAGCUAAAGAAGAGGGGCCAUCUGUGCAUUUACAGCUAAAGAAGGAACAUCUAUGCCUUUACUUGCUUGUCAUAACGUCAAGCUAGGAAGCCAACUGACUGGAAAAAAAAAGAGGGCUAUGUGAAAUUCUGUUAGGUUAGAUUAGCCAUCUUUUAAAUGUCUUAUUUUAUUCUACGCAUAUGGGUAUUUUGCCUGCUUGAGUGAAUGUGUGCCUACUGCCCCCAGAGCCCAGAAAAUGGCAUUGGAUCCCCUCAGACUGGAGGUACAGAUGUGUGUGUGAGUCACUAUGUGGGUUCUGGGAUACAGAUACUCACCCAUGACGUCUGGAAUCACAGAGCCAUGUCUCCAGCCCCUGGAUCAGUCAUCAUCAAGACUGUGUGCGCCUGGACUUUGGAAGGGAAUGCACAGCUGAAGUAUCCCUGAACAGCCUUGCUUAUUAAAACAGAAUCCUGAGCACCCACUCUCAUCAAUCAAAUGGUGAAAGGCCUUUGUGGUGAUGCUUUCCAAAAUGGAAGGAGAUUUUAUUGCAGACUGUUGCUUUUUCCCUUUGUAUGUGUGCAUGUGUGUAUGUAAGUUGUGGGGGAGGAGCAGUGGAGGCCAGAGGUCAUCAGAUGUCCUGCUCUUGGCAUGAUCUUGAUCUGCCUUGUUCCUCUGAGACAGGCCCUCUGACUCAGAGCUAUGCUGGAAACCAGCAAGUGUCAGCAAUAUCUCCCCCAGCUCUGCUCCCAACAGCACUGGGAUUUGCAGGCACCUGCAAGGCCACGCCCAGUUUUUUAGGUGAGUAGUGGGGGUUUGAACUCAGAUUCUCAUGCUUGCUUAGCAACUGCUCUUACCUACAGAACCAUCUACCCCGCCUCUGGUGCAUAGCAUUUUAUCUUCU